CCUACGGGAGGCAGCAGUGGGGAAUAUUGGACAAUGGGCGAAAGCCUGAUCCAGCCAUGCCGCGUGUGUGAAGAAGGCCUUCGGGUUGUAAAGCACUUUCAGCGGGGAAGAAAGCCUUGGGGCUAAUACCCUCGAGGAAGGACAUCACCCACAGAAGAAGCACCGGCUAACUCCGUGCCAGUAGCCGCGGUAAUACGGAGGGUGCGAGCGUUAAUCGGAAUUACUGGGCGUAAAGCGCGCGUAGGCGGUCUGAUAAGCCGGUUGUGAAAGCCCCGGGCUCAACCUGGGAACGGCAUCCGGAACUGUCAGGCUAGAGUGCAGGAGAGGAAGGUAGAAUUCCCGGUGUAGCGGUGAAAUGCGUAGAGAUCGGGAGGAAUACCAGUGGCGAAGGCGGCCUUCUGGACUGACACUGACGCUGAGGUGCGAAAGCGUGGGUAGCAAACAGGAUUAGAUACCCCAGUAGUC
rnacentral:rRNA from 1 species